AGAGCCUUAGCUCCAUUGUAGAGCAUCUGCUUUGCAUGCAGAAGGUCCUGGCAUCAAUCCCCAGCAUCUCUG